UCUUGAUGUGAGGUAGUAAGUAAAUGCACUUAUUCUGAGGAAGGGGCAUACCUGGUGUAGUUGAAAAACAGCAAAGAGGUCAGUACGGUUGGAGAAGAAUGAAGGAUAAACCAGUAGGAGAUCAGACAGUUAACAGGGUCAUAUCUUACAGGCUCUACCAGUUUCUGCCACCUAAGAAUCACAAACUCUCAGAAGCAUACGAUAGUAGGUGUGUACUUAGCUCAUGCCUGUGAGCUCUGCUAAUCUUGGUUAGGCUUGCUCACAUCCAUAGGAAGUUUGGUUUGGGAUCAGCUGAUCUAAGCUAGACUCAGAUGAAGCAGCCCUAUUCACAUGUCUCUCUUCCUUUUUCUGGCAGCAGCAGGCUAGCCCUGAUGUGUUUUUUCUCAGGACAAUGGCAGAGAUAUAAGAGGGAAGUCCACUUGCGACAAAACCUUUUCAGCCCUUUGGCUUCAUCAUGUGUGUUAAUGAGUCACAUGGUCAAACUCAGAGACAAUAGAUACAGAUGGAGGUGGUGGCGAGGGAGUGAGUGACUAUUUCUGAUAAUUAUUCCAAAUAAUCCAAUGUAUGACAACGGACCUCAAAAAAAAAAAAAUGCUUUGGCUUUUAUUCUGUGAUAGGCAAAACCUUUCACUUUGAGGGAAAAUGCGACAUAAUCUAAUUGCUGAGCCGAGAGUAGAUUGAAGGGAAGAGUAAGAAUAGGAACAGAAAGGUUAUGAUCCAGAUGAGAGAAGAUGGUGUUCUGCAUUAGGGCUGUUGCGGUGGAGUUGAUUAGAAGGGAUCAGGCUCUGAUUAUAUUUUUAACAGAGCUGUUAAGAUUUUCUGAAGAAAGGAGGAUUUUAUGGAGGGAAAGGCGGCAGAAUUAAGGGGUCUGUUUCGGAAAUGUUGACUUUGUGAUGACUGUUACCUUGGUGGAAAUGUCAAAUAAGUGGUUAAAUAUACAGGUGUGGAGUUCAGGAGAGUUUAGGACUAGAGACAGAUCUGGGAGUUAUUGGCAAGUUGAUGUCUUUUAAAACCUGGAAACUGAGGACUCGCUGAUAAAUGGAGGUAAAGGAGAAGAGGCCAGGGACAGAGCCCUAGGGUAAUCUAAUAUUUAGAGGUCUGAUGGAACAGGAAGAGCUACAAGAAGGGGGCUUUAAAAAUGUGAUGGGAGGAGUUCUGUGACGCAGCGGGUUAAGGAUCCAGCGUUGUCACUGCAGCCGGUUGGAUCGCUGCUGUGUCUUGGGUUCAGUCUCUGGCCUGGGAACUUGUGCAUGUAACGGGUGUGGACAAAAAGAAGAAAUAUAAAAGCAAUUGGUAAUGUACGAGGAAAUACAAGAGUGUGACAUCACGGAAGCCAAGAAGAGAAAAUAUUGCAAAAAGAAGGAACUAGCCAACUUUGUUGACUCUGCUCAGAGGCUAAGAAAGUCAAGAAGAGGGCCAGGAGUUGUGGCAAUAUGGAAGACAUGGGCGACCCUGAAAAGAGAGGUCUUUAUGGAAGAGUGGAGUGGAAGUACAAUUCGAUGAAUGAAAUAAGGAUAUGAAGACUACAUUUACAGUUAACGGGAAUAGAGAUGGGGUGGCCUUUAGGAAAAGGGAUCAGGCGAAGUUGUUGUCUUAUUUUAAUAGAUAAUAGUGGCUAUGGAAAUAAGCCAGGAAAAACUGAUGUCAAGAAAAAAGAGAAUUAGAGGAGGGGUGCCUUGGAGAAGGUUAGAGAAAUGGUUCUUUGCUAGGGGUAGAGAUGUUUAAUUCAUUACAACAGGGGGGCCAGCAAAGAUGUGGAAGGUGCAUAAAUGGGGACAUGAGAUGACUCCUGCCUAAUGGUUUAUAUUUUCUCCAAUGAGGUAUUUUCUAAAGUUCAUUAACAAAGAUAGAAGACAUGGGAAACUUGAAAGAAGGGAAGGCAGUAUGAAGUAGCCAACAGAAAAUGUAGUAGGAUUAUCAGAACCCUUUUGAAAUUUGUGGUCAUAAAUUUCAGGUGAGACCAGGCCACAAUUUUCAGGUGCUCAGUGCAGGCAUGGGGUAUUACAAAUAACUUAACCACAAUUGUGAUUUGCCAGACAAGGUGAAUGAAAGGAAGAGGUUCAGAGGUUUUCCAAGGAGUGAUAUUAAUGAUAGACCCAUGGACUCUCAGCCAGGUAAGGAAAGAAGGGAUGAUGGAGAGAGAUAAAGACCAAUGGAGGAAUUCCCAUUGUGGUGCAGUGGAAACAAAUCCGACUAGGAACCACGAGGUUUUGGGUUCAAUCCCUGGCCUCGCUCAGUGGGUUAAGAUCCGACAUUGCUAUGAGCUGUGGUGUAAGCCGGCAGCAACCGCUGCAACGGCUCCGAUUACAGGCCUAGCCUGGGAACCUCCAUAUGCCACGGUGUGGCCCUAAAAAGACAAAAGACAAAAAAAAAAAUGGAAUAGGAUAGAAAUAUUAAUUUUGAAUCUAUUUUCAGUUGUCCCUAAAAAUAUCACAAAAUGAGGAAAGGAAAGAUGGUACCAGAUGUGUAAUUUUUAUAUGGUGCUUUUACUUGCAAGUAUACAAUGAGAGGCAUUUUGUAAUAUUUCUUUGACUUUUGAAUCUGGAGGUGGGUUACUCUGAGGAACCCAAGAACCCUGAAAAGUUUGAGAUUCUAGUCUGUUACUGUUUCAUGGAUAUUUACAGAAGGCGCAAGAAUCCUGAUUCAGAGACAAAGGACAGUAUUAGUCAUGGCACAGCAAGCAACUGUUGAGAGCAGUGACCUUAGCAUUGGAUGGCCAGCAUUCUCUUCAUAACACACACAACGAUUCCUUCUGGCCACACGACGCUGAAGACAGACUUUGAAAAAUGAUGCUGCCUUUGAGGGCAUGGUUAGGUGAGCAUAAGUGUGAAUAUGGACACCAAGAAUGAAAUUAUGCAAACAAACAAAAAUGAAUGCUUUAUUCUAGCAGGUAGAGAAGUGUAGACUUUCUGUCACUGUUCUAUUUACAUAGGUCCUGUGAAGUCAUAGACUGGGUAAAGAUAGAAGUUAGAAGUGUGUCAGUUGUAAGAGAGGGCUGAAAUUUUAGCAUACAAAGUUUUAGUGUAAUGUAACCCCCUUUACACUCGCUUUUUUAAUCUUUUAAAAGAUCUAUAUUCUCAAAAAUCUUUCUACUUUUGAAAUGUAAUAUAUGACCAUUUUAAUCUACAUAUUCACUCUUUUUAUUGUAUAUAACUGUUAAUUCAUAAGAUUGGGCCACAGCCCAAAGUUCAUAUUAAUGUAAACAUGCUGGCACAGAAUAAUAAAAUAUUUACAACCAGACCUGGACAGAGGUAAAGAUUAGACAAAUUAAAGCAGGAUAUCUCUAACCUCUUAAGUGCUCAAAACUCUAAUGAUGAAGUCUUCCAACUUUUAGAAGUUGACAUAGGCCGGUUUGUCUUAAAGUUAAGACAAAUCACAGAGUAAAAUAAUAAAUGUAAAAGUCUAGGGAAUAAAGUUCUAAAAAUGGUUAUGAAAGAAGAGCUCAGUUAAUUCUUUCUCUACAGUGUCACAUUUUGCAGGUACUUUGUGAGUGUAUAUAGAGCAAUAGAUACUAAAAUGGUCAGCUACCUUGAUAUAUGUUCAGUGACACUAGUAAAGUAGUUCCUAUUACUAAAAUUGAUUGGAUUCCAUUAUGUUUUAAUGUCUUCCUAAUUUAAAGCUCUAAAACAUGUAAUACAUCUUGUCAGAUGCUCCCAACAUACAGAUACCUGCCGUACAUGGAACAACCCCAUGCGAUUAAUCAAAUAGCCAAUUUAUCAUUUCUGACUUUAUAAAAAAUUUUAAAAUUUCACCCAGAAUAUGUUUCAGCCCUGAGCAUAAAACUGUUUUGAUUCUGUUAACCAAACUUUCACCAUUUUACAGAAGACAAAAUAUUGCCUAUGAGAAAUUUUCCAUUGCCUGCAUCCCUGGAAGGGAGCAGAGCCACAGGUGAUCUACAACAGAGUUUUAAAACUUUUAAUGUUAAAAAUCACCCAAAUCACCCAAAUCUUUUUGUUUUUUAACCUCUUCAUAACUGCAUUUUUUGCUUAGACCGAUAUGACAUUAUUUCGUAGCCCAGAAGCUUGCCAAGUGUCAGAACUAAGGGUGCUUGAAAUUGAAAGUGGGACAUCAAAGGACAGGUAAUUUAAAAUUUAUCAUUUAAAAUAUGCAUAGCUCCAUCAUCAGUAGCAUUCUCUAUGAAUUGUAUACAGGAGGCUGCUGUCUCUUCAAUGGAUUUUGACCACCCACCAAGAUUUCCAGCAAAAUAAGGAAGGAUGCCAGCAGAAAUCUGGUUAAAGAGCAAAUUAAUCUGCUGAUGUUUCCUCAAACUUACGGUACACGAAUUGCUAUCAACAGCAUGGAUGAGAAAUCCGGCACAUACGAUUUCACUUCUGACGUACUGUGGUGAAGGUGGGACUGAUGGCAGAGUAACCGACUUCACUGCCACCGUAUACUCACCCAUCUUUGAGAGGCCUUCUUCGUGAUACAAGUACCACCAAGUCUUUGGGUUUGUCAUCAUUCAUCGGAGGACAAGUGAUAUGAUAAAUCUGAUCAUCUUCAUUUAUCCAGUCUAUGACUUCACAGGACCUAUGUAAAUAGAACAGUGACAGAAAGUCUAUACUUUUCUAUCCAGUAGAAUAAAGCAUUCAUUUUUUUGUUUGUUUGCAUAAUUUCAUUAUUGGUGUCCAUAUUCUCUCUUUUGCUUAUAUAACCAUCCCCUCAAAGCCAGCAUCAUUUUUCAAAGUCUGUUUUUAGUGUUGUGUGGCCAGAAGGAACAGUUCUGUGUGUGAUGAAGAGAAUGCUGGCCAUCCGACACUAAGGUCACCGCUCUCAACACUGCAGAGAAAGGCACAUCGCUGUUUUCCACAAAAUUAUUUUUCUUUAGGAUCAAGUAAUAAUAUUUUGAAAACUCGUCAAUUAUAUGGACAAUCCA